rnacentral:rRNA from 1 species
AAAUUGAAGAGUUUGAUCAUGGCUCAGAUUGAACGCUGGCGGCAGGCCUAACACAUGCAAGUCGAACGGUAACAGGAAGCAGCUUGCUGCUUUGCUGACGAGUGGCGGACGGGUGAGUAAUGUCUGGGAAACUGCCUGAUGGAGGGGGAUAACUACUGGAAACGGUGGCUAAUACCGCAUAACGUCGCAAGACCAAAGAGGGGGACCUUCGGGCCUCUUGCCAUCAGAUGUGCCCAGAUGGGAUUAGCUUGUUGGUGAGGUAACGGCUCACCAAGUCGACGAUCCCUAGCUGGUCUGAGAGGAUGACCAGCCACACUGGAACUGAGACACGGUCCAGACUCCUACGGGAGGCAGCAGUGGGGAAUAUUGCACAAUGGGCGCAAGCCUGAUGCAGCCAUGCCGCGUGUAUGAAGAAGGCCUUCGGGUUGUAAAGUACUUUCAGCGGGGAGGAAGGUGUUG